rnacentral:ncRNA from 1 species
UGCUGUUCUCAGGGCGGGGUGAAAUUCCCCACCGGCGGUAAGAGGCGCGCCAACCGGCGCAUCCCGAGCCCGCGAGCGCCCCGGUAUCAUGGAUCAUGUCCGGGGGUCAGCAGAUCUGGUGUGACUCCAGAGCCGACGGUUACAGUCCGGAUGGAAGAGAACGUCA